AACGAACGCUGGCGGCAUGCCUAACACAUGCAAGUCGAACGAGACCUUCGGGUCUAGUGGCGCACGGGUGCGUAACGCGUGGGAAUCUGCCCUUGGGUUCGGAAUAACAGUUGGAAACGGCUGAUAACACCGGAUGAUGACGUAAGUCCAAAGAUUUAUCGACCAAGGAGGAGCACGCGUAGGAUUAGCUAGUUGGUGAGGUAAAGGCUCACCAAGGCGACGAUCCUUAGCUGGUUUGAGAGGAUGGGCAGCCACACUGAGACUGGGACACGGCCCAGAAUCCUACGGGAGGGAGCAGUGCGGAAUAUUGGACAACGGGCUAAAGCAUGAACCAGCAAGGCCGCGUAAGCGAUGUAGUCCUGAAGGAUGUAAGGCUCUUUUACCCGGGAUGGUAAUGACAGUACCGAAAGAAUAAGCUCCGGCUAACUCCGUG
rnacentral:rRNA from 1 species